GCCCUUAGAGUUUGAUCCUGGCUCAGAACGAACGCUGGCGGCGCGCCUAACACAUGCAAGUCGAACGAGAGGCUCUUCGGAGUAGUAAAGNGGCAAACGGGUGAGGANNGCANGGGUAACCNGCCCUUGAGGAGGGANUAACUCGCCGANAGGUGGGCUAAUACCCUAUACGCUACAUUUUCUUUGGGANGUGUUGGANAGCUGAGCCGUGGGCUUGGCACUCAAGGAGGGGCUCAUGUCCUAUCAGCUUGUUGGUGGGGUAACGGCCUACCAAGGCUACGACGGGUAGCUGGUCUGAGAGGAUGAUCAGCCACACUGGCACUGAGAUACGGGCCAGACUCCUACGGGAGGCAGCAGUGAGGAAUAUUGCGCAAUGGGCGAAAGCCUGACGCAGCGACGCCCGCGUGGGGGAUGAAAGGUUUUCGGAUUUGUAAACCCCCUUUUUGUGAGGAAAAGANAAAAGUGGGUAACCACUUAGACGGUACCCUCAAGAAAAAAGCCACGGCUAACUUCGUGCCAGCAGCCCGCGGUAAUAAGGGCG
rnacentral:rRNA from 1 species